CUCUGCUUAUGCUUUCCCAGGCCUGUAGUCCUUGUUCAUCAGAAUCCGGAGGGGGUAGUGCACAGCUCAGAAAGUCCUUUAAUGAGGGGCUGCUUGUUUUAUGACAUCUUGCACCCUCAGCAUCAGUAGCUGUAAGGACUGAAAGUCUCUCUUGCUGUUGCUUCACAGAGAAUCAGUAAGCAUGACUUUCAAGGAAGUGCUAACCCAUCCGUUCAAAACCUGAACUGAUCCUUGUAAGGAGGAAGUAAUUCUUCAGCCUGCUGAGCAAGACGUUUCAGCUGGCCCCAAGUUGGCACCAUGCUGGAGGUAGUUACUUGAAUACGACGACAGCGAUGAGAUGGAGCAGAAUAUGGUUGGACUCUAUCAGCAUGUCUUUCCUGAAAGUGCCAGGUCCAGACUCGACGAGCUUCUGAUCUCCCCAUCUUCCCUCGGUCCCGGACUCCAGGGCCCCAGGAAUCUCAGUGACCUCAGGGGUCUUCGUGAUCUUGGAGAUCUCAUGGGACUGGACAUGUCUAACCAGUAUGUCAGGAAUCCAAACAGAAGAAGUGGAAUCCUGUGGAAACACGCAAGCAUACCCUCUCCUGCAAGUUAACAGCACAUCUGGCCCUUUCCACUCUCCGGUCAACAAGCUACAACAUGCCAGUUCAACAAGGAUAUAUGAAACUAUAGCCGACCAUGGAAAAUGGCACUCACCCUUAGAUGGACACAGCUAUAAGGACUCUGAGGCUUGAGACUAGUAUGAAUGGGAGGCCCAACGCUCCUCGCCAUCCCAGCUCAGCAGGAAGUAGCCAGAGGGACCUUGAUAACCCUGUUCCCGAAGAAUUGGGCCUUCCAUCUCUUGAGGGAAAAAUGUUAGGUAGUUAGAAAAGGAAAAACAUUUUCCUUCAAACUUUUGCUGUGGCGAAACAGAACUGAGGAAAUUACAUACUCCCCCAACACCAUGACCCACCAGGUGGAAACCCAGAGUCACAUCCACUGGCCUACCAGGGAAGUCCUGAGUUUCAAUCCAUUUUAUUAGCCACGAAGAAAAUGGGACUUUAUUCUCACCCAACACUUUGGGAACGAUAUAAAUUUUAAUUUGUCCAAAACUCUUAAAUAAGACUCUUUAUGUAGUUUUGAAAACGCUUCACCAAAACAGCAAGGUCAGAGCAAAAUCCCAGCCCCUGUCAGGCCUGACUGGCUGCACAGCCACCAAAGUCACUCUUCACAGCCUAUUGGUUUCCAUCCCUGAAGAUUGAAGGAAAAUGAGAUCCUAGCUCCAGCUGAAUUCAGAGUAACCUGUUUAUACCAUCUAGAGCUCACUGAUUUGUGUUAGCCUGACAAAGAGCUAAAUACAUCAAGACUCUCUUGCUUACUUCCUUAGUAUCAACACAAAUUUCAAGCUCUCACUCUCCAAUCUCAUCAUCUUAUCCUCUCC
rnacentral:lncRNA from 1 species